rnacentral:lncRNA from 1 species
GCAACAUCCAGGAUACUUACUAUGUAAAAGAACAUUAGAAGACCUUCCUGUUCAAGGACUUAAGGGGAUAGAUGAAGAUGAUCCUGUUAACUCUGUCCACAGCAUGAAACUGACCAAGUUUUCCUUCCAAGUUGAUAGGUACAGAAACUUCCUUUUAUGAUUUAGUUUAUUUCCAGUUUUUUUUUCAUGCUGACACUGUAUCUUUUCACUAAAGGUCUUUACGAGGUUGAUACUUAUUUUUUAAAAAGCAUGUUUGGCCUGGUUUAGUGUUCUUACUUAAGGCCUUUCACUGUAACCAAUGUGUUACUCUGUCUUCCAGGUCUUGGAAUGCCCAGCUAUUAUCAUUGAAUGAAAGAAUAAAGAGCUCCAAACUAGAGAUUUCUUGUUGUGCUCCAUGGUUCCAGGAUAUUUUACAUUUGGAGUCUCCUAAAUCUGGUAAUCGUGGUACCAGUGUACCAAGCUGGGUUUUUGUUUCACAGGACAUAAUGCGGGACCAGUAUAAUCUUCCACAGAAAGAUCAUGCCCAGACCAGUGACCCUGGAAGAUUCUGGAAAAUAAUGCACCUCAGUGAACAAGAGGAACCCACAGAACUUAACUGUGUGUCUGUGACAGGAUUCACUGCACUGUUUACUUGGGCAGUGGAAAUGAGUGACAAGUACACCAUUCUCCUCUGGGAUUUGGAGACCCAGGGGUUGCAGUGUUUCUCUCUUGGCCAGAAGUGUAUUCCUGUAGACAGCAGUGGAGACCAGCAGCUGUGCUUUGUUUUGAUGGAAAAUGGACUCUCUUUGAUUUUGUUUGGUUUGACUCAAGAGGAAUUUUUAAACAGACUAAUGAUCCAUGGAAGUGCCAGCAUUGUGGACACUCUUUGUCAUCUCAACGGGUGGGGGAGGUGCUCAAUUCCCGUACAUGCACUAGAGGCCGGGAUAGAAAAUCGGCAGCUUGAUACUGUAGAUUUCUUCUUGAAGAGCAAAGGAAAUCUUUUUACUGCAUCCUCAGAAUCUUCUGUACCUGAUCGAUUUGAUCACUUUCCAUCCCAAUUAUAUUUAAGAAGUAAGUAAAACAAGGACUUCUACACUUAUAGGUAUCAUUUUAAUUGCUUUCAAAUUAUUAUGUUUUCUGAUGACAUUUUUAGUUGCCAAAACUCAGUCAUGAGAUUUAUAUACUUUGUGGAAACUUGAGUUUUCAAGAAUCCAUAAAUGUUCCCAUUCUAAGU